AGAGCUGUGGCACGCUGGCAGAGCACCUGCUUUGAGUGCAGAAGGUCCCAGGUUCAAUCCCUGGUAGGCCUG